rnacentral:lncRNA from 1 species
GUCUCCAACCACAGGGCCACAGAGCUGGAGCUGGAUCUACCAUGAAGGACUUCUGAAUCCAGGAAGAGAGACUGACUGGGCAACAUGUUAUUCAGGGUCUCCCUCUGUUGUCCAAGGCUGGAGUGUAGUAGUGCUAUCGCAGCUGACUGCAGCCUCAACCUUCCAGGCUGAAGCGAUCCUCCUACCUCAACCUCCCACGUGGCUGAGACUACAGGUGCUUGACACUAUGCCCAACUAAUAUUUGGAAUUUUCGUAUACGUGGAUUCCAGAGGGGUGACAGUGUAACGUGGGACCAUCCAGUUUCAGGAAAACAAGCUUAACACGCC